rnacentral:antisense_RNA from 2 species
UGUGGGAGCGGGCUUGCUCGCGAAGGCGUCGUCUCUGCCAACAUCAAUGUUGAAUGACACACCGCAUUCGCGAGCAAGCCCGCUCCCACA